AAAUAUAAGAAUGACACAAACUAAAGGUAAAGACACAUCUAAUCUAUUAAAAGGGAAGUACAAAUAGUACUUAGCCCUGACUUUUCCCAAACAAUUACAAUAGAAUGCCACUGGACUUAUACACCGUCGUUUUGUAGCAUUACUAUACCAUAGCAUUACCAUCUAUUUUUUCUUCUUGAUUUUGCUUCGUGUUCUUCGUUGUAUCUCCGAAUUGUUAUUCUUGAUUCUUCAGUAGGAAAUAGAAACUCUCUGCGCCAAGCUCUACGACAAAUACACCACCUUCAAGAAAUUUUCAAGUUUUCGGAAUUGGACGAGGUUAAUAGGAAACAAGAAGACGAGAGUUCAUUACCUUUGUUUCAGCCUCAGACACAACAUUUGAGAAGUGAAAACAAGAAUUUGAAGGAGAACAUGGAGAGAUUGAGGAAUGAGAUAGCUGAAAUCAGGCAUGUAGUAUUACUGUGUUAAUCUUCUCUUCCCUUGGACUUCCUUCUGGAUUCUUGUGAAAUGUAAAAACCAUGGCUGUUUUGGUCCACAGAUAUACCAGGGACGAGGAGCGUUUGGAGUCUCAAAAGUGUCUUGUGGCAGAAGAACGAAAGAACAAGACACUUUCCGAGCAAGUUGAGAAAAUAAAAGAGCUGAUAUCAGAGGGAGUUCCUCACUACAACAAAAAUCAAAGUGGAAGAACACGAAAGACUCCUGAAUCUCCUCAAGUUACAACGUGAAGCAUGAGGAAGCGUAGCAGGCAGACUGAGGAUAUGGUUGAAAUGGACACGGUAUCACCUAUGAGAAGCAUGAUGAAACGUAGCAGGCAGACAGAGGAUAUCAUGGAAACGGACGUGGUAUCACCUCAUAUUAGCGAAACGCUCUUGGUUUCUCAACCACAAUGCUGUAAAACAACUGACUGUGGAUCAAGUAACUCUGCUGGUUGUCCAUUUCAAGCUCUUGGCGAGCACUUGACCGGAGUGAAAUUGUCAACAAAUAAUAAAGACAAACGAAUCUGCAUUGUUGCCUCCCAUCCAUCAAGUGGUUUAUCAUUCACCUUAACUUGGGUAAAUAACUACGCUGAUUAAGAAGCUGCUGCUGUACAAGGCUGAGUCGUUGGGAAUCAUAAAUAAAUCAUUCACAGAAAAUGACAUCCGUGCGGGCGCACGGGUGGAAGCACUAGUAUAACAUUAUAACAGCAGUUAUAAAUUGAAUCGACCAAACAAAACACACAUCAUCAAAAAAUUGGUCAUGUUUACAAAACGGAAAAACAUACCUUUUAACAGGAAAAGGGCCAUCCAUGGAGUUGCGCCGAAAUAAUAGAGUUGUAAGUGAUGUGGCAGCUUUAGGAAAGGGAAAGAUGCUGUUGUCGAAUGCAUCUAAAGAGAAAUCAAGAACCUCCAGGUUUCUUAAUUUCCUUAGGCUUUUGUAACCUGCAAACGAGAAUCUAGCUAAGUAUAUAGUGAUUACAUACCCCACACCAAGCACCUAAUGUCAUUCAAAUGUGUAUACAAACAGAGAUUGCGAGAGAUGAAUACUAUGCAGGUGGAUAAUAAAAUGUAAGUGGCCGUAUUAUGUGACUGAAUUGAACAUCACACAGACAUUAACUUGCCUAUGAAGAAACAGAGAUUCCAUCCAAGUAAAACGCUUUGGAGAAACU